rnacentral:rRNA from 2 species
UUGGUUAAGUUAGAAAGGGCGCACGGUGGAUGCCUUGGCACUAGGAGCCGAAGAAGGACGGGACUAACACCGAUAUGCUUUGGGGAGCUGUACGUAAGCGUUGAUCCAGAGAUUUCCGAAUGGGGGAACCCACUAUCUUUAGUCGGAUAGUAUCCUUACGUGAAUACAUAGCGUGAGGAAGGCAGACCCAGGGAACUGAAACAUCUAAGUACCUGGAGGAAGAGAAAGAAAAAUCGAUUUCCUGAGUAGCGGCGAGCGAAACGGAAAGAGCCCAAACCAAGAAGCUUGCUUCUUGGGGUUGUAGGACACUCUAUACGGAGUUACAAAAGAAAGUUAUAAAUGAAGCGGUCUGGAAAGGCCCGCCAAAGACGGUAACAGCCCGGUAGUUGAAAUGGCUUUCCCUCCAGAGUGGAUCCUGAGUACGGCGGAACACGUGAAAUUCCGUCGGAAUCCGGGAGGACCAUCUCCCAAGGCUAAAUACUCCCUAGUGACCGAUAGUGAACCAGUACCGUGAGGGAAAGGUGAAAAGCACCCCGGAAGGGGAGUGAAACAGUUCCUGAAACCGUGUGCCUACAAGUAGUUAGAGCCCGUUAAUGGGUGAUAGCGUGCCUUUUGUAGAAUGAACCGGCGAGUUACGAUUUGUUGCAAGGUUAAGCGGAAAAAGCGGAGCCGUAGCGAAAGCGAGUCUGAAUAGGGCGCAUAAGUAACAGGUCGUAGACCCGAAACCAGGUGAUCUACCCAUGUCCAGGAUGAAGGUAAGGUAAUACUUACUGGAGGUCCGAACCCACGCACGUUGAAAAGUGCGGGGAUGAGGUGUGGGUAGCGGAGAAAUUCCAAUCGAACUUGGAGAUAGCUGGUUCUCUCCGAAAUAGCUUUAGGGCUAGCCUCGAGGUAAAGAGUCAUGGAGGUAGAGCACUGUUUGGACUAGGGGCCCUUCUCGGGUUACCGAAUUCAGAUAAACUCCGAAUGCCAUGUACUUAUACUCGGGAGUCAGACUGCGAGUGAUAAGAUCCGUAGUCGAAAGGGAAACAGCCCAGACCACCAGUUAAGGUCCCCAAAUAUAUG